GAUGAACGCUGGCGGCGUGCCUAAUACAUGCAAGUCGAGCGAACAGUUCAGGGGUUUGCUCCUCCGACUUUAGCAGCGGACAGAAGCGUACCACGUGGAUAGCCUAACUGUAAGACUGGGAUACCUUUGGGAAACCGGCGUUAAUACGGAAUAAUAAUUGCAACAAAAUGAUUCCACAGUGGAUGAGCUUGUUGCUGUCAUUUAUGGCUGGAUACGCGCCGAAUUAGCGAUGUUGUAAGGUAACGGUUUACCAAGGUAACGCUGCGUAGCCGACCCGAGAGGGUGAUCGGCCACACUGGAACUGAGACACGGUCCAGACUCCUGAGGGAGGCAGCAGUAGAGAAUCUUACGCAAGGGACGAGAGCCUGACGGAGCAACGCCGCGUGAGUGAUGAAGGUGUUCGGAUCGUAAAACUCUGUUGUUAGUGAAGAACAAAUGUGUAAGUAACUAUGCACGUCUUGACGGUACCUAAGCAGAAAGCCACGGCUAACUACGUG
rnacentral:rRNA from 1 species